rnacentral:rRNA from 1 species
ACGAACGCUGGCGGCGUGCUUAACACAUGCAAGUCGAGCGGUAAGGCCCUUUCGGGGGUACACGAGCGGCGAACGGGUGAGUAACACGUGGGUGACCUGCCCUCAGCUCUGGGAUAAGCCUGGGAAACUGGGUCUAAUACCGGGAUAUGACUCCAUGACGCAUGUUGUGGGGUGGAAAGCCUUGUGCGGCUGAGGAUGGGCCCGCGGCCUAUCAGCUUGUUGGUGGGGNGAUGGCCUACCAAGGCGACGACGGGUAGCCGGCCUGAGAGGGCGACCGGCCACACUGGGACUGAGACACGGCCCAGACUCCUACGGGAGGCAGCAGUGGGGAAUCUUGCGCAAUGGGCGAAAGCCUGACGCAGCGACGCCGCGUAAGGGAUGACGGCCUGGU